rnacentral:rRNA from 1 species
CCUACGGGUGGCAGCAGUAGGGAAUUUUCGUCAAUGGGCGCAAGCCUGAACGAGCAAUGCCGCGUGAGUGAAGAAGGGUUUCGGCUCGUAAAGCUCUGUUGUUGGAGAAGAACGUGCGUGAGAGUAACUGUUCACGCAGUGACGGUAUCCAACCAGAAAGUCACGGCUAACUACGUGCCAGCAGCCGCGGUAAUACGUAGGUGGCAAGCGUUAUCCGGAUUUAUUGGGCGUAAAGCGAGCGCAGGCGGUUGCUUAGGUCUGAUGUGAAAGCCUUCGGCUCAACCGGAGAAUUGCAUCAGAAACUGUUGAACUUGAGUGCAGAAGAGGAGAGUGGAACUCCAUGUGUAGCGGUGGAAUGCGUAGAUAUAUGGAAGAACACCAGUGGCGAAGGCGGCUCUCUGGUCUGCAACUGACGCUGAGGCUCGAAAGCAUGGGUAGCG